UCAGCUGUGGAAGAGACAGGCGGUGACUCCUGGAAGUAUAGUUUGCAGCCGUGCACAGAAGUGCUUUUCUUGGACAUUUUCCACAGCUACAGUCAAACUUUGACAUCAUUGCUUCAAGAAAUGGUGCAGAAUCUUCGAGGCCCCAGAAAUGUGGAGGAUCCAGUGCAGAUGCUCAUGAAGGAUGCAGGAGUUUAAAAAUUGUGCCGGAUAACAUCAAAAUUCUGAAUGAGGACGGCCCCUGGAAAGAGCUGAUAUCUUUCACUCUCUCGCAAGUCUUUUUAAGAACAGCACAAAGAUAUCGAGAUUUAGAUAAACCUCUCAGACGGGAGCCUGGAUAAUCUUUACACUUCGCCUCAAUGACAUUUACUGCCUUCUUACAAUAGCAGUAUUAUAUCAGCUGUGGUUGAUGGAUUGGUUAAACAAUGUUCUUCUGGGAGACUCCAGCAGUGCAAUUGAAUAUGUGAGGCAUCAGAUAUGUUAAAUAA